CGGCUCACCUAGGCGACGAUCCCUAGCUGGUCUGAGAGGAUGACCCGCCACACUGGGACUGAGACACGGCCCAGACUCCUACGGGAGGCAGCAGUGGGGAAUAUUGCACAAUGGGCGCAAGCCUGAUGCAGCCAUGCCGCGUGUGUGAAGAAGGCCUUCGGGUUGUAAAGCACUUUCAGCGGGGAGGAAGGCGUUAAGGUUAAUAACCUUGGCGAUUGACGUUACCCGCAGAAGA
rnacentral:rRNA from 1 species